GACAGAGGGUGCAAGCGUUGUUCGGAAUUAUUGGGCGUAAAGGGCGCGUAGGCGGCCUCGUAAGUCAGAUGUGAAAUCCCUGGGCUUAACCCAGGACGUGCAUCUGAUACUGCUUGGCUUGAGUCUCGGAGAGGAUGGUGGAAUUCCCAGUGUAGAGGUGAAAUUCGUAGAUAUUGGGAGGAACACCGGUGGCGAAGGCGACUCGCUGGACAAGUAUUGACGCUGAGGUGCGAAAGCGUGGGGAGCAAACAGG
rnacentral:rRNA from 1 species